rnacentral:lncRNA from 1 species
CAUAGUUUGCAAUAUAAAAGUCAUAUCACAACUGAUCUGCUGGUUAAUUUGGCACCCCUGUAAGACUUUCCUAUGAAUAUUAGAAUAAUUUACGACAAACUGCACAGUGCUAAGUCAAUUACCACCUCAUAUCCCAAGUUCAUAUGUGUAGCAUUAUUGGAAAUGGAAUACUUGUCUGGAAAAGAUGGGAUGCAAACAUUAUAGCAAAUACUUACAAAGAUUAGAAAUACACAAAUCAAGUAAAAGUUUUCACUUACCCUAUAACAAUGACCUAUUUAUUUUAUUAAUGGUAAAGAAAAAUCCAAAAAAGAAUAUUUAUUUAUUAAAAAAGAAAAAGGUUCCAUUGUCCUUGAUUGACAUUAGGCCAUCAACCAAACUAAAUGUUUGAUAUCUAGAUAACUAUGAUAUGAGGAAAAAUAACAAUCCAAACCCAUAGUGAUGUGAAUUAUUGCGGGAAAAAAAAAAUAUCUUGUAGGUUAUGUACCCUCUUUAUUUAAUUUAUUCAUCAUAU